rnacentral:rRNA from 2 species
GUUGUAGUCUGGAGAAGUGCUUUCCGCGCUGGACCGUGUAUAAGUCUCUUGGAACAGAGCGUCAUAGAGGGUGAGAAUCCCGUCUUUGACACGGACUACCAGUGCUUUGUGAUGCGCUCUCAAAGAGUCGAGUUGUUUGGGAAUGCAGCUCAAAAUGGGUGGUAAAUUCCAUCUAAAGCUAAAUAUUGGCGAGAGACCGAUAGCGAACAAGUACCGUGAGGGAAAGAUGAAAAGCACUUUGGAAAGAGAGUUAAACAGUACGUGAAAUUGCUGAAAGGGAAACGCUUGAAGUCAGUCGCGUCGUGCGGAACUCAGCCUGGCUUUUGCCUGGUGCACUUUCUGUACGACGGGCCAGCAUCGAUUUUGACCGCUGGAAAAGGGUUGGGGGAAUGUGGCACCUUCGGGUGUGUUAUAGCCCCUGGUCGCAUACGGCGGUUGGGAUCGAGGAACGCAGCGCGCCGCAAGGCAGGGGUUCGCCCACUUUCGCGCUUAGGAUGCUGGCAUAAUGGCUUUAAACGACCCGUCUUGAAACACGGACCAAGGAGUCUAACAUACCUGCGAGUGUUUGGGUGGAAAACCCGAGCGCGUAAUGAAAGUGAAAGUUGGGACCUCUGUCGUGGAGGGCACCGACGCCCGGAGCUGACGUUCUCUGACGCAUCCGCGGUUGAGC